rnacentral:rRNA from 1 species
GAUGAACGCUAGCGGCAGGCUUAACCCCUGCCAAGUCGAGGGGUAACCGGGGUGCUUGGCACCGCUGACGACCGGCGCACGGGUGCGUAACGCGUAUAGAACUUCCCUUUAACAGGAGAAUACCCCAGAGAAAUUUGGAAUAAUGCUCCAUAGUAUUAUUGAAUGGCUUCAUUUGAUAAUUAAACAUUUAUGGGUAAAAGAUGGCUAUGCGUUCUAUUAGCUAGAUGGUAAGGUAACGGCUUACCAUGGCAACGAUAGAUAGGGGUCCUGAGAGGGAGAUCCCCCACACUGGUACUGAGACACGGACCAGACUCCUACGGGAGGCAGCAGUGAGGAAUAUUGGACAAUGGAGGCAACUCUGAUCCAGCCAUGCCGCGUGCAGGAAGACGGUCCUAUGGAUUGUAACCUGCUUUUAUACAGGAAGAAACACUCCCUCGUGAGGGAGCUUGACGGUACUGUAUGAAUAAGCACCGGCUAACUCCGUGCCAGCAGCCGCGGUAAUACGGAGGGUGCAAGCGUUAUCCGGAAUCAUUGGGUUUAAAGGGUCCGUAGGCGGGCUAAUAAGUCAGGGGUGAAAUCCAACAGCUUAACUGUUGA